ACGCACGCUGGCGGCGUGCCUCAUACCUGCCAGUAGAACGCUGAAGAGAGGAGCUUGCUCUUCUUGGAUGAGUUGCGAACGGGUGAGUAACGCGUAGGUAACCUGCCUUGUAGCGGGGGAUAACUAUUGGAAACGAUAGCUAAUACCGCAUAACAAUGGAUGACACAUGUCAUUUAUUUGAAAGGGGCAAUUGCUCCACUACAAGAUGGACCUGCGUUGUAUUAGCUAGUAGGUGAGGUAAUGGCUCACCUAGGCGACGAUACAUAGCCGACCUGAGAGGGUGAUCGGCCACACUGGGACUGAGACACGGCCCAGACUCCUACGGGAGGCAGCAGUAGGGAAUCUUCGGCAAUGGGGGCAACCCUGACCGAGCAACGCCGCGUGAGUGAAGAAGGUUUUCGGAUCGUAAAGCUCUGUUGUAAGUCAAGAACGGGUGUGAGAGUGGAAAGUUCACACUGUGACGGUAGCUUACCAGAAAGGGACGGCUAACUACGUG
rnacentral:rRNA from 1 species